rnacentral:rRNA from 1 species
UACAUCGGAAUCUACUCUGUCGUGGGGGAGUAACGUAGGGAAACUUACGCUAAUACCGCAUACGACCUACGGGUGAAAGCAGGGAUCUUCGGACCUUGCGCGAUUGAAUGAGCCGAUGUCGGAUUAGCUAGUUGGCGGGUAAAGGCCCACCAAGGCGACGAUCCGUAGCUGGUCUGAGAGGAUGAUCAGCCACACUGGAACUGAGACACGGUCCAGACUCCUACGGGAGGCAGCAGUC